rnacentral:rRNA from 1 species
UACGUAGGGUGCGAGCGUUGUCCGGAUUUAUUGGGCGUAAAGAGCUCGUAGGCGGUUUGUUGCGUCGGCUGUGAAAUCCCGAGGCUCAACCUCGGGUCUGCAGUCGAUACGAGCAAACUAGAGUGUUGCAGGGGAGACUGGAAUUCCUGGUGUAGCGGUGAAAUGCGUAGAUAUCGGGAGGAACAUCAGUGGCGAAGGCGGCGACCUGGGCAGAUACUGACACUGAGGUGCGAAAGCGUGGGGAGCAAACAGG